ACCUUUGGGUAUUUUGGUAUUUUUUUGUUUGUUUGUUUGUUUUUGGGUUUUUUUUACCAAGGGUAUAAUGUCACUAAGGAAAUAGAAGAGUUUUGCAAUAGUGGUGCCUCUCCUGUGUGAAAAAAGAUGCAUGUUGACUACCAUUAGGUUAAGGAGAAAUUAACUUGAAUCCCUCCACUCCCAGAACUGUCUGUAUGGGUCAGCUCAUGGAGUGAGAAAUCAAGAAUGCUGCCUUGUGUAGUUCAGUGAAACAAAUUCUGGAGCAGUGGAUGCCAGGAGGGAAAGAUUCUGUUAUCUCACUGUUCACCAAGAAAAUUUAAAUAGUGAAUUCUCCAACAACUAGAGACUCUGACUGUUGUCUGCCACUGUCAAGAUCUAAAGCAUAUUGAAAAUGUAGCACUUUUGCAAUCAGGACUUGAAAGUUUGCUCUGAGCUUCCAAUUAUAUAAUUUCCCUUGCUAGUUUUCAUAUUGUAAGCGAACUAUUGCUGUCAUCAUUUCAGACCUUUCUUUAAAAAUAAGAUGUAUAUUUUUGUAGGCCAAAAA